AGAGUUUGAUUCUGGCUCAGGAUGAACGCUGGCGGCGUGCUUAACACAUGCAAGUCGAACGAAGCACUUUAUUUGAUUUCCUUCGGGACUGAUUAUUUUGUGACUGAGUGGCGGACGGGUGAGUAACGCGUGGGUAACCUGCCUUGUACAGGGGGAUAACAGUUGGAAACGGCUGCUAAUACCGCAUAAGCGCACGGCAUCGCAUGAUGCAGUGUGAAAAACUCCGGUGGUAUAAGAUGGACCCGCGUUGGAUUAGCUAGUUGGUGAGGUAACGGCUCACCAAGGCGACGAUCCAUAGCCGACCUUAGAGGGUGACCGGCCACAUUGGGACUGAGACACGGCCCAAACUCCUACGGGAGGCAGCAGUGGGGAAUAUUGCACAAUGGGCGAAAGCCUGAUGCAGCGACGCCGCGUGAGCGAAGAAGUAUUUCGGUAUGUAAAGCUCUAUCAGCAGGGAAGAUAAUGACGGUACCUGACUAAGAAGCACCGGCUAAAUACGUGCCAGCAGCCGCGGUAAUACGUAUGGUGCAAGCGUUAUCCGGAUUUACUGGGUGUAAAGGGAGCGCAGGCGGUGCGGCAAGUCUGAUGUGAAAGCCCGGGGCUCAACCCCGGUACUGCAUUGGAAACUGUCGUACUAGAGUGUCGGAGGGGUAAGCGGAAUUCCUAGUGUAGCGGUGAAAUGCGUAGAUAUUAGGAGGAACACCAGUGGCGAAGGCGGCUUACUGGACGAUAACUGACGCUGAGGCUCGAAAGCGUGGGGAGCAAAA
rnacentral:rRNA from 1 species